rnacentral:rRNA from 1 species
GAUGAACGCUGGCGGCGUGCCUAAUACAUGCAAGUCGAGCGAACAGACGAGGAGCUUGCUCCUCUGACGUUAGCGGCGGACGGGUGAGUAACACGUGGAUAACCUACCUAUAAGACUGGGAUAACUUCGGGAAACCGGAGCUAAUACCGGAUAAUAUAUUGAACCGCAUGGUUCAAUAGUGAAAGACGGUUUUGCUGUCACUUAUAGAUGGAUCCGCGCCGCAUUAGCUAGUUGGUAAGGUAACGGCUUACCAAGGCGACGAUGCGUAGCCGACCUGAGAGGGUGAUCGGCCACACGGGAACUGAGACAGGGUCCAGACUCCUACGGGAGGAAGCAGUAGGGAAUCUUCCGCAAUGGGCGAAAGCCUGACGGAGCAACGCCGCGUGAGUGAUGAAGGUCUUCGGAUCGUAAAACUCUGUUAUUAGGGAAGAACAAAUGUGUAAGUAACUAUGCACGUCUUGACGGUACCUAAUCAGAAAGCCACGGCUAACUACGU